rnacentral:rRNA from 1 species
AUUGAACGCUGGCGGCAGGCCUAACACAUGCAAGUCGAACGAGUGGCGGACGGGUGAGUAAUGUCUGGGAACCUGCCCGAUGGAGGGGGAUAACUACUGGAAACGGUAGCUAAUACCGCAUACCAUCGGAUUUGCCCAGAUGGGAUUAGCUUGUAGGUGAGGUAACGGCUCACCUAGGCGCCGAUCCCUCGCUGGAAUGAGAGGAUGACCAGCCACGCUGGAACUGAGAAACGGUCCAGACUCCGACGGGAGGCAGCAGUGGGGAAUAUUGCACAAUGGGCGCAAGCCUGAUGCAGACAUGCCGGGUGUAUGAAGAAGGCCUUCGGGUUGUAAAGUACUUUCAGCGGGGAGGCGUUACCCGCAGAAGAAGCACCGGCUAACUCCGUGCCAGCAGCCGCGGUAAUAC